rnacentral:rRNA from 1 species
CGCGGCCUAUCAGCUUGUUGGUGGGGUGAUGGCCUACCAAGGCGACGACGGGUAGCCGGCCUGAGAGGGUGACCGGCCACACUGGGACUGAGACACGGCCCAGACUCCUACGGGAGGCAGCAGUGGGGAAUAUUGCACAAUGGGCGGAAGCCUGAUGCAGCGACGCCGCGUGGGGGAUGACGGCCUUCGGGUUGUAAACCCCUUUCGCCCGGGACGAAGCGAGAGUGACGGUACCGGGAGAAGAAGCACCGGCCAACUACGUGCCAGCAGCCGCGGUAAUACGUAGGGUCCGAGCGUUGUCCGGAAUUAUUGGGCGUAAAGAGCUCGUAGGCGGCCUGUCGCGUCUGCUGUGAAAGUCCGGGGCUUAACUCCGGGUGUGCAGUGGAUACGGGCAGGCUUGAGGUAGGCAGGGGAGACUGGAGUUCCUGGUGUAGCGGUGAAAUGCGCAGAUAUCAGGAGGAACACCGGUGGCGAAGGCGGGUCUCUGGGCCUUACCUGACGCUGAGGAGCGAAAGCGUGGGGAGCGAACAGGAUUAGAUACCCUGGUAGUCCACGCCGUAAACGUUGGGCGCUAGGUGUGGGGACUUUCCACGGUUUCCGUGCCGUAGCUAACGCAUUAAGCGCCCCGCCUGGGGAGUACGG